GUGAGGAAUAUUGGUCAAUGGGCGCAAGCCUGAACCAGCCAUCCCGCGUGCAGGAAGACGGCGCUAUGCGUUGUAAACUGCUUUUCCAGGGAGAGAAACUUGCGCACGUGUUGCGCAAUUGACGGUACCCUGGGAAUAAGCAUCGGCUAACUCCGUGCCAGCAGCCGCGGUAAUACGGAGGAUGCGAGCGUUAUCCGGAUUCCUUGGGUUUAAAGGGUGCGUAGGCGGACUAUUAAGUCAGUGGUGAAAUCCUGCAGCUUAACUGCAGAACUGCCAUUGAUACUGAUAGCCUUGAGUUUGGUUAAGGUAGGCGGAAUGUGUAAUGUAGCGGUGAAAUGCUUAGAUAUUACACAGAACACCAAUUGCGUAGGCAGCUUACUGAGCCGACACUGACGCUGAGGCACGAAAGCGUGGGGAUCGAACAGGAUUAGAAACCCGUGUAGUCC
rnacentral:rRNA from 1 species